rnacentral:lncRNA from 1 species
UUAGUUAGCUUGGUUAGUUAGGUUAGUUAGUUAGUUAACUUAAUAGAAAGAAUAGGAAUAAGAAGAAGAGGAGGAGGAGGAGAAGAGGAGAAGAGGAGGAGGAGGAGGAGGAGAAGAAGAAGAAGAAGAAGAAGAAGAAGAACAAGAGGAGGAGGAGGAGGAGAAGACAAAAAUAAGAAGGAGAAGCAGAAAAGAAGAAGAAAAGAAGAGAAGAAGAGAAGAAGA